rnacentral:lncRNA from 1 species
CAUUUGUAAUGUAAAUAAAGAAAAUAUCUAAUGAAGAAGGAGAAGGAGAAGGAGGAGGAGGAGGAGAAGAAGGAGAAGGAGAAGGAGAAGGAGAAGGAGAAGGAGAAGGAGAAGGAGAAGGAGGAAGAAGAAGGAGGAGGAGAAGGAGGAAGAGGAGGAGGAGGAGGAGGAGGAGGAGGAGGAGGAGGAGGAGGAGGAGGAGGAGGAGGAGGAGACCAGCAGGCUUCUACCUUUAUGUAAAGCCCACUCAGCAGCCCCAAACUGCAACCUUCCACUGGGCUCCAUAAACUGGCCUAAAACUCUGAUUCCUUUUCUGGAGGGCUGCCAGGAAAAACAACACACCUAAAAGCUUUAGUUUAAAAAUGAGCAAACACACUAUGUUUGGUGUGAUUCUUUACAGAGGAGUAGAUAGCAAGAAAUACUCAAACUCAGAGCUGAAAUAAAUCAAUUAGUAACAAAGAAAACAAUACAAAGACUCAAUGAAAGAGUUGGUUCUUUGAGAUCAUCAACAAGAAAUCCUUAUCCAAUCAAACUAAAAGGCAGAGGCAAUAUCCAAAUUGGCAAAAUCGGAAAUCAAAAGGGGGCUAAAAACAACAGACAAUGAGGAAAUCUAAAGAUUCGUUAGGUCUUACUUCAAAAACCUGUACUCCACAAAAUUGUAAAUUCUAAAUAAAAUGGACAAUUUUCUUGACAGAUACCGUUUGCCAAAGAUAAAGCAAGAUUGAAUAAACAAUUUAAAGAUGUAUUCUUAGGAUAAACAGAAAAGGAAAGACUAUGUCUUAACAAUGCUAUGCUUGUGUGUCAAUUUACAUAGGGAUCAAUUAUCCCAGCUAGUUUUACCUGAACUUGACAAAGGCUACAUUCAUCUGAAAGUUGGGAACGUCAAUUAAGAAAAUCUGUCUAUAAGAUAAAACUGCAGAGCAUGUUCUUAACUAGGGAUUGAUGUGAGAAGGCCCAUUCCAUUGUGGACAGUGCUAUUGAAUGGCUGGUGGUACUCAGUUCUAUAAGGAAGCAGGUUGCAGGCCAUAAAGAACAAGAGGAUAGGCAGCACUCCUCCGCGCAUCUGCAUUUUCUCCUGCCUCCAGUUCUUUCUAAACCAGAAACUUGUUUGCU